CCGCGUGAGUGAUGAAGGUUUUCGGAUCGUAAAACUCUGUUGUUAGGGAAGAACAAGUGCUAGUUGAAUAAGCUGGCACCUUGACGGUACCUAACCAGAAAGCCACGGCUAACUACGUGCCAGCAGCCGCGGUAAUACGUAGGUGGCAAGCGUUAUCCGGAAUUAUUGGGCGUAAAGCGCGCGCAGGUGGUUUCUUAAGUCUGAUGUGAAAGCCCACGGCUCAACCGUGGAGGGUCAUUGGAAACUGGGAGACUUGAGUGCAGAAGAGGAAAGUGGAAUUCCACGUGUAGCGGUGAAAUGCGUAGAUAUGUGGAGGAACACCAGUGGCGAAGGCGACUUUCUGGGCUGUAACUGACGCUGAGGCGCGAAAGCGUGGGGAGCAAACAGGAUUAGAUACCCUGGUAGUCCACGCCGUAAACGAUGAGUGCUAGGUGUUAGGGGUUUCGAUACCCUUGGUGCCGAAGUUAACACAGUAAGCACUCCGCCUGGGGAGUACGGUCGCAAGACUGAAACUCAAAGGAAUUGACGG
rnacentral:rRNA from 1 species